AACGCAUCUUGCGCCUUUUGGUAUUCCGAAAGGCACACCUGUUUGAGUGUCAUGAAUACCUCAAUCCCUAUUGUUUUUUUUUAACAAAAGCAAAUAGUGGUUUGGAUGUUGAGCAUCUGCUGUUUUCCAACAGCUUGCUUUAAAGACAUUAGCCAAUCCCUUUCUGCAACGGACUGACUCGGCGUAAUAAGCUGUUUCGUCGAGGAUGUGCUUGAAAAAGCAGCCGAUACAGAGAAAAGGUGGCUUCUAAAAUGCAUGCAUUGCUUUAUUAUCUUUUAGACCUCAAAUCAGGUGGGACUACCCGCUGAACUUAA
rnacentral:misc_RNA from 1 species